UUCAGUAUAUGUUGAAUUCUUCUUAUACCUCAUAUAAGCAACUAAUCUACACAGAUUGAUAUUAAGUAGUCAGUGCGAUCUGAAUCGUUUGAAAAAUGAACAAAAAUGUGGUCCUCACUUGACGUUUGACAAUCAGACUCUCUCUGUGGAAAGAGUAAACCAGCAACAGUAGUGCUCACAAAUUCUUGGUUCUCUCUUAAUCCUAAUUCAGUCCAGCCAUUUUCUGAAGUGGCUGAGAUAAUAAUGGCUGUAGUUUUCUGUAGGUCCAUUUCAUGGUUACAGGUACGUGCAGUCCCAUCCGUACAGCUUCAUGGCAAAACACUCAGCCAUUGUUACAGAUAAGGAGUCUGCAAAGAACGGCUAACACCAUGACUCUUCAGGAGUGGAUACAGGGAGAACAGGCAAUUCCAUGCAGAUGGACUGUGCUGUGAAUUGAUCCUGGGUCAGUGGAGGUGAGAAACAGCAGUCCUAACCGCAGAGUCAUUAAAUAUGACACGGAAACAUUGCUUCUUGUUUUGAUAUUUUUCACUUGUUUCAUAAAGCCCUUUGUGAUUUAUUACGGAUCAUUAAGUAUGGCAGAGCAGAUUGAUUACCCUUAAAUGGAUUUUGUCUUUAGAUGCAAAUUAUACAUAAAGUUGUUUUUUUUUAGUUUCAGGCGUGCUCGUAAUUGUAAUUGCACUAAUGUUUUUAAUGGUAUUUUGUUAAUAGCCAUAAAUAUAGAUUUGGUUUCUUCUAAUCAAAGAAAAGAAAUGUAAUCAAGAGCUGUAAACAGGACCAGAGAUAUUUCCUGAGAUUUACGCCAUGAUGCAACACGUAUGGUCAUUUGUCAUUUCUAAUUUUGUGCGUUUUGUCAGCAUAAUUUCUCGGAUUUUUCUUUUCUUUCAUUAAAAAGAAAAUGUGGUGUGUGCCUUAAAAAGCAAAUAGCAUUCUGAAAGCACUUUCAAGAUUUAAGUCUGAGACUAAUUUAUUUAGGAGCCAAGCAGCUCUUUCUUGUUUUGGCUGCAUAUGUUUUCACUUACCAGUGAAGCUGUAUGUUUUUUAUUUGUCUCCAUCACUUUAUUUCUUUGAUAUGAAGCUUGUUGCAAUCUUUGGUUUAAUCAAACAGCUACCAGCUGCUACCAGUAUAUAUUUUAACAAAACCCCCUGAAGUAAAUUUCACUGAUGCUAUUCUGUAACUUUUAACCUUUCAGCCUCACUACAUUUGGAUCUCCAAUUCAUUUUCAAUGGCCAGGUAACUUUUAACAUGUUCUAGCAGCAGCUCACCUGAACUCGACGGUGUCCGUGUGAAGUGUUAUUUCACGUCUGCAGGUUCACUGUGAUGCCAGGAGCAGGUCAGUCUGUCGGUGAGGUGCUACCACCCUCAUCUGGACAGAAGUGGUACUGCCUUGCUGUAGCUGAGGUGUGCACAAGUAAGCAUUUCAAGCAAAACUAACAUUCUCAUGUCUUCAGGGCACAACGUUCUCCUCAGUUUAUCUGCUGCAAAUCCAAAGGUUAUUAAUGUUUAAUGGGAUGCCUUCAUCAGAAUCAGCAGCUAUACAAAUACAAACUGUAACAUGUCCAGAGGGAAUCUGGUGUGUACAGGGCUCAAGUACCUAAUAUCAUAGUGACUCCACACUAUUGAAUCCCCAUGGCUCAAAAAAAAGUCAGAUUAUGCAAACCGUUAAAUUAAAACUGUUAAAUCAAACUUUAUAAUUUGCUGUAACUGGAAUUCAUUUACAAAAUGUUUUAUUGGAAUAAUACAGCUGUACUUGUUGAAAUGUAUUUUAACAGGAGCUGGCACGAGAAGAAGGGGUGCAAAGCUAGGGAGCAGAAUACACAGGCUGAUGUGAGCUCUGACUGACUGGCUUUGUGGAGCAGACGCCUGUAGCACCGCAUACACAUGGCAGUCCAGUUAGACGCAACAUGCCACUUCCUCCGGGAGGAAUGGACGAAGAGCGUGGUGCCGAGCUGGAGUGGACAAAGUCAGUACGCCAAAUGAAGGCUACACUGCAUUUGAAAACAUGUACAACAUUGGAAGCAAAGUCCUGGACCAAAAAGUGUUACAAAUUCCUGUCCUUCAUUCUUUGAGCUCAAAGAAGAUGCCUCAUGAAGGCAAUUGACUACACCACUUCUGGUCAGAGUCCUAUAAAAGAUGGCCACACCCAGAAAACGGGAUUGCCUUUGAACCAGAGCCAACCAGAGAUGGAGCUCCACCAAGGCAAUCUUGCUCUAUUGAGCCAAUGAAUCUGUUAUCCAGCAACCAUUGCUCAGUAUUUUGUGUUGUGCCAACAUGCACUUGGUUUUUUUUUUACACUGAAGCCAACAGAUUAAAAGUGACAAUUUGGCUGGCACCACUACAAUUUUUGGAAUUCCUUGUAUCUUCAUUUAGUAAAUAACAGGGUGCCAAGAGUAAGGAAACAGCUACUGGACCACAUGGCGAGAGAGACAUUGCUGGCUUGUAAGUGGUUUUAACCAAGGUGUGCCAGCCUCCAUUUGUCUGAAGGAUACCUGUGUCUUGUUCAUGCUGACAGUGUAGGCAUCACUCAUACAUACUGGUGUGGACAGGAUCUGAGUGUAUUUGUGUGAAGUUUAGAGUGUGAGAGUAGACCAGUAAUGAACUUGGUGAGUUCCACUCAUCCCACGACACUACUCUCUAUAGUAUCUGCAAUUCAGUCUCUAUAAAACCAUCGGAAUGGUCCCUUUCAGGACACCACUAGCUAGACAGGAACCAAAAUUUGAGAGGGGAUGUCAGCUGGGGCUCACUGACUUGUUCAGGUGAGGUGCACAGACCGGUGCUCUGUGGGUGAGGUUGUUUAAUUUGAAACACAAUUUAUUGACCUGAAUUGCAAGUAUUUAUUUUUUGUAUUCUUCAAAUUUUUAUAUUUCUUUGCCUCUUUCAUCAUGGGAAUAGCAGGCAUUUUGAAAUGGAAUUUAUCUUAGAAUAUCUUAGUUACAUCUUCUCUGCAGGUUUAAUUUAUUUAAUUACACUUGCAGCAGAUUAAAUAUCUACUUUCUCACAAAGCCCGCUUAAUCCAGUUCAGGCUUGCAGGGAGCUACAGCCUAAUGUGGCAAUCAAGAACCAAACCUGGAUAAAGUGAUAGCCCAAUGCAGGGAUGUUGAUACUCACAUCCACAUUUGUUCAUUUUAAAUUAGUUUGGUAACAUUAGUGGAAAACAGACUCGAGGAAGCCAUGCAUACCUCACAAAGACAGUGAGCAAACCAUAUUGUCAAGCCCAGUGUCCUAAAUUUGCAAAACACAAACCAGUCCUGGAUAGGACACCAAGCUACUGAAAAACACACACACUAGAGAAAUUCACAGUCUUCGAUGAUUCUAACCUCCGUGACUUGAGAAUGAGGGAGGAAAGCUAUGCAAACACUUAGAAAACAUAUUAAAUGGAUAUGGAAGAUGACCAGGUCUCCUGGAACUGCACCGACCAUUACGCCGCCAUGUUGCAGAGUCUCACUCACUAGUCAGUAUGCUUCAGAGAACCAUGUGUGCUUCAAAUGGUAAUUUGUUUAUUAGCAUUUAUUUUGAUUUUGACUUUUGUAUCUGUUCAGUACUGUAAUGUGCUCUGAUUGUCUAAGUCUUCAAGGCCAAAUAUACUAAUAAUAUACUCAGUUCUAUUAUGACAUGAUGUUUCUGGUAAUGUGUAUGCUAAAGCCCUGCUGAGCAAUGUAUCUUUUCUUGCUCCUCACGCUGUUUUCCCAAGACUCUUAAAACUAGAGUACUGUAGUCCAGUUAGAGGCUUAGUGAAGAGAAGUCAUACAUUUUGUACACCAACAACAACAUUUAUUUAUAUAGCACAUUUUCAUACAAACAGUAGCUCAAAGUGCUUUACAUAUUAAA